UGGUGACGCUAUAGUAUAUGUGCAAGUGGUCCAGAUUAAAAAAAAAUUAGGUCAAUCAAAAUAUUUAUACUCUUCCAGAAAAGAACAGUUAUGGCAUUGCAGAAGACAGCUUUGAGUUGCCUGAAUUGCCUACUAUUAUUGCCUUUGAUUUUGAUUUUGUCUAGAAUCAGGGAGGAUUACCAAUCCAAAAUGUACUUUUCUUUUAUAUCAGAAAAAAACACCUAAUUUUUCAUGUUCCAGUAUAGAAACAUAAGUGUCUUAAAAUGUCUGCAUUUAGUUUUUAUCAUGAACUUUAUUCUUUUGUCUAGCUGUGGGUAAAGAAGAUACAUCAUCAUUAACUGAAGUUGUAAAACAAGUUGCAAAACAACAACAAUCACAAACAUCAGAAAUAGAAAGAAACAAAAAAGUUCUGUUUCAUUUACAGGUAACUUAUUUCAUAUAAUCUUUUAAAUGUCUUCAAAAUUUAAUAGUGACAAAAAAUUUUAAAAGAACUUCAUAUUGGGAAUCAAUUUUAAUUACACUAUACUAUCAGUCAACAAAUAUAUGAAAAAAUGUUCAUUAUUGCUAGCAAUUAGAGAAAUUCAAAUCCAAACUACUCUAAGAUAUCAUCUCACUCCAGUUAGAAUGGCAGCUAUUAUGAGACAAACAACAAUAAGUGUUGGCAAGGAUGUAGGGAAAAAGGUAUACUCAUAUACUGCUGGUGGGGCUGCAAAUUGGUGUAGCCAAUAUGGAAAUCAGUAUGGAAAUUUCUUGGAAAAUUGGGAAUGGAACCACCAUUUGAUCCAGCCAUCCCUCUCCUUGGUCUAUACCCAAAGGACUUAAAAACAGCAUAUUACAGGGACACAGCCACCUCAAUGUUUGUAGUAGCGCAAUUCACUAUAGCUAAACUAGGGCCCACUUUCUAUUGAGAAUUUUGCUAAACAUUUUUCUCAACAUUGUCCUUACCCUUGCAUUGCUCAUGAUUUAUUUGGGAAGGAGUCCAAGUAAACAAAUAAUUGCACUCAUGAUGGUAGCAUCAACAAUAGAGGUAGUAGCCCAACAUAUUUAACACUGAAGAAUGAGUGAUUGCAAAAGAAGUGAUUUUUCAAUGUUGGGUAUUAAAAGACAGUUGGAAUUCACUGAUUGAUUGGGUAUCUUGGUCAGGUAUAAGAUUAAGGGAACCUGGGAUAAGGAGGAUGAUAUUCCAGAUUGACAGAAUCUGAGAAAUUCACAGAAGCCUGAAACAGCAUUGUACAUUCAUAGAACCCUAUGUAGUUUGAUAAUGGUAUAGUAUAGAGUAUGUUUUGAGAAGAGGUGGAAGGUAUAUACUAUGAUUAAAAAUUUGGACUUUAUUCUAACAGUGAUGAGAAACCUUUGGUUUUUAAACAAGAAGCAAAUUAAAAAUUGCUUUUAUAUAGAGAGAAUUCUUUUUAAAAAUAUAUAUAAAGUGCUUGUUAUAAUUCAACAUCCAUUCAUGACAAAAAUGUCUCAGAAAAUUAGGAUUAGAAGGGAACUUU
rnacentral:lncRNA from 1 species